AAGAGGAUUUGGAGUAAACUAAACAAAUGAGGAAUGCAAGGAAUUCUUUGCUAGUUUUUGAGCCUCCUUUUCUAUAUAUUUUUCUCGUGAAUAUUUAAUCAACUUGCUUUAGUGUGUACUUCACCCGUUUCUUGUUUUGUUAUUUUCUAUAUAGAUUUGUCUCUUUCUCAGUAUUAGAAAAAUCCUCUAAGCAUUUGCACGGUUUUUCAAUCAUGCUCUCUCCCUUCAAUAAUUCUCUGAUUUCAUGUAAUGUUUCAUAUAAUUCUUUUAUGUAAAAAUACUAUUUUUGUUUCACUAUCAAAACUUAUUUAUACAUGGAAUAUAUAAGUACAAAAUUUUGAGGUCAUUGGUUUGUGUACUAGUAUAUUCAUAAUUAUGUUUUGCUGAAACUAGAAUGGAUUUGUAGCAUGCCAUUUUUUCAUUCUUG
rnacentral:lncRNA from 1 species